rfam:Peptoclostridium acidaminophilum DSM 3953 chromosome, complete genome.
GCGGAAGUGGCUCAGUGGUAGAGCAUCGCCUUGCCAAGGCGAGGGUCGCGGGUUCAAAUCCCGUCUUCCGCU